UUGCGAUGUCAGCGUCUCUAAAAUCAUUUGAAAACAACCACAGACCUAAGCGUAAGCCAACAACGUUUAAGCUCCUAUAAUUCGAGUUCCCCUUAAUAAUUAAGAUUAGACCUCUUACUCUUCCCUAGGGUUUUCGUUACAAAUUCAUCUUCUCUAAAUGUCUUUCAACAACCAGCUCUCCAUUGCAAUAACGAUUACUCUCCCCUCGAUCAUUUAUCUCAUGUGGUGGCAUACCCAGUUUCAGUCUCAAUAAAACAGUGUCAUCGGGAUCCGUUUUUGGGUUUAAGCAAGGAGAAGGAGAGAGAUAUAGUCAUAGAGUAAACAACGAGUAGUAAAGGCAGGAGGAAAAACUACUCUUCAAUGGUCUAUGAUAAAUCAAAAUUGAUGGAGACCAUGACUCUUGCAAUUUCAAGAGUUGAUCCACCUCUCUUAUCCUUUUGACUCAAGGUGAGAAAGUGAAAUUAAGGUGAUUUCUAUAAUCCGUGUUUCAACGACUCUGUAAUCUUGGAAAUUAUAUUUAUAGUGUCGAAAACUCCAAAUUAUCUUUGUUACAUAUGGUGAACACGUUAUGCUAUUUACCUCUAUUAGAAAUGGUGAAUACCUAAAGCGCCUCCAGGUAUGCAGAGCAUCCUAUGUUGUAGUAAAAUUUUUAACCAUCCAUUCUCUAAGUCAUGUAUGUUUUCUUUCUUUUUUAUGCGACGAAACACAUGUGCUCUAUUAAUAUAAAAGAACUAAUGGUCCUCUGUUUGUUGUUUCAUCUUUUUAUUUGCAUCACUAAGCUUGGCCGGGAGAAGUUUCCCAACUGAACCUAUUAUUAAAAGGUUGUUGACAAUUGUGAACUAAGUGAUUAGUUGAUUAAAUUGUGUGUUGUUUCAUUGUUUGGUGGGAGUCGUCUUUAUGUGUAUGUGGGUUUGGAAAAUUCUACUAUUGUGUUGUGCUUUACAUUUGCAGUUAUCUACCAGUUACUCUUCUAACGGUUAACGAUUUGGUUUUAUUUAUGA